rnacentral:rRNA from 1 species
GAUGAACGCUGGCGGCGUGCCUAAUACAUGCAAGUCGAGCGAACAGACGAGGAGCUUGCUCCUCUGACGUUAGCGGCGGACGGGUGAGUAACACGUGGAUAACCUACCUAUAAGACUGGGAUAACUUCGGGAAACCGGAGCUAAUACCGGAUAAUAUAUUGAACCGCAUGGUUCAAUAGUGAAAGACGGUUUUGCUGUCACUUAUAGAUGGAUCCGCGCCGCAUUAGCUAGUUGGUAAGGUAGCGGCUUACCAAGGCAACGAUGCGUAGCCGACCUGAGAGGGUGAUCGGCCACACUGGAACUGAGACACGGUCCAGACUCCUACGGGAGGCAGCAGUAGGGAAUCUUCCGCAAUGGGCGAAAGCCUGACGGAGCAACGCCGCGUGAGUGAUGAAGGUCUUCGGAUCGUAAAACUCUGUUAUUAGGGAAGAACAAAUGUGUAAGUAACUAUGCACGUCUUGACGGUGCCUAAUCAGAAAGCCACGGCUAACUACGUG